AACGUAGGGGGCGAGCGUUGCCCGGAUUCACUGGGCGUAAAGCGGGUGUAGGCGGUCCGUUAAGUCGGAUGUGAAAUCUCCGAGCUCAACUCGGAAACUGCAUCCGAUACUGUCGGACUUGAGGACGGUAGAGGUCGGUGGAAUGCACAGUGUACCGGUGAAAUGGACAGAUAUUGUGCGGAACACCAGUGGCGAAGGCGGCCGACUGGGCCGAUCCUGACGCUGAGACCCGAAAGCCAGGGUAGCGAACCGG
rnacentral:rRNA from 1 species